AGAGUUUGAUCAUGGCUCAGGACGAACGCUGGCGGCGUGCUUAACACAUGCAAGUCAGGGGGCUCAGCAAUGGGUCACCGGCGAACGGGUGCGUAACACGUGAGCGACCUGCCCAAGUGUGGGGGAUAGCCGGCCCAACGGCCGGGUAAUACCGCAUACGCUUCCUUUGGGGCAUACCUAGGGAAGGAAACCUUCGGGGCACAUGGAGGGGCUCGCGGCCUAUCAGCUAGUUGGCGGGGUAAUGGCCCACCAAGGCAACGACGGGUAGCUGGUCUGAGAGGAUGGCCAGCCACAUUGGGACUGAGAUACGGCCCAGACUCCUACGGGAGGCAGCAGUGGGGAAUAUUGCGCAAUGGCCGAAAGGCUGACGCAGCGACGCCGCGUGGGGGAGGAAGGUCUUCGGAUUGUAAACCCCUGUUGCCCGGGACGAAUCCUGGUUUAAACCAGAUUGACGGUACCGGGUGAGGAAGCACCGGCUAACUCUGUGCCAGCAGCCGCGGUAAUACAGAGGGUGCGAGCGUUGUCCGGAAUCACUGGGCGUAAAGGGCGCGUAGGUGGCUUGCCAAGCGUGUGGUGAAAGCCCGGAGCUCAACUCCGGGUCUGCCAUGCGAACUGGCAGGCUAGAGCACGGUAGAGGCCAAUGGAAUUCCGGGUGUAGCGGUGGAAUGCAGAGAUCCGGAAGAACACCGGUGGCGAAGGCGGUUGGCUGGGCCGUUGCUGACACUGAUGCGCGACAGCGUGGGGAGCAAACAGGAUUAGAUACCCUAGUAGUCC
rnacentral:rRNA from 1 species